CACCUGUGCGCUUAAAGUUAAGCAUGACCGUGACUCAUUCAGCUGUCACUCUUACGGAUGUAGUGUGAGAACCAUAUGGAUGGGAAGAAGUAACCUAGACCCAAGAUGCAAGUUCAGGGAUUGCAAGACAGGAGGCCAAACACCGAAACAGCAUCUGACAAAAAUUUCUCCCAGGGGUGAACAGGCUGCAGGAGAAGUGGAAAUUGCCACUCCUAUUUUGCUAGGUUUAUUUUUGAGAAGACCUUAUAUAAAGACAUUGCCUUCAAGAAGAAACAUUGGAAUUUUAGGGCUAUUUGAAACCGGUGUAUAAGCAUAUGUUGUAUGUCAUGACUAUGCUGCCUAACAUGCAGUUGGAUGAAAAACACUUGAAGUAUCUUUGGACCGAACCCACAAUAAAGCUCUCCAAUACUUCAGUGGACGUAGUGCAUGUGAAGCUACUUCAGAAUGAAGCCCAUAAUCCUGGACCUCUUUUCAUGGGAGGCUGAAUAUAUGAAGGUACUUACAAAAAACAAAUCAGAAUGGAAGACUUGCAACAGUCCAUGGAGUUAUAUACUUUGCAGGGUUGCU